rnacentral:rRNA from 1 species
AGAGAGAGACAUGCGCGCAUAUCAAUAAGCGGAGGAAAAGAAACUAACUAGGAUUCCCUCAGUAACGGCGAGUGAAGCGGGAAGAGCUCAAAUUUGAAAUCUUCAAGGUUCUACCUUGACGAAUUGUAGUUUAAAGAAGUGUUUUCUGUUGGAGUUUUGGUAAAAGUUCUUUGGAAUAGGACAUCAUAGAGGGUGAGAAUCCCGUAUUUGACCAUUUACUUUCAGCUUUGUGAUACACUUUCAAAGAGUCGGAUUGUUUGGGAAUGCAGUCCAAAAUGGGUGGUAAAUUUCAUCUAAAGCUAAAUAUUGGUGAGAGACCGAUAGCGAACAAGUACCGUGAGGGAAAGAUGAAAAGAACUUUGAAAAGAGAGUUAAACAGUACGUGAAAUUGUCAAAAGGGAAGCGUUUGACACCAGUGUUGUUUUCUCGAAAAUCAAUUAAAAAGAGUUAGGAUUUUGUUGUGUAUUGACCUUAUCAGCUUUGCAUUCAUUUUCUUGUCUUUUUUAAUGCACUUUUCGUUUAACAAGUCAACAUCAAGUUUCUUUUGUUGUAAAAGGGUCAUUGGAAGGUGGCUUUCUUUUCGGAGAAAGUGUUUAUAGCCUUUGGCCUCUGCAAUCGGAGAGAUUGAGGUCUGCAGCGUAGAUCCUUCGGGGUUAGAUACAUUUGUGCUAAGUUAUAGCCUUUCAUAGACAACUUGUUGACUAUGAUCAGUCAUGUAGCUUACUCGCUUAUGCUAUUUUACCUACGCUUAGGAUAUUGAUGUGAUACUGCGAGCA